AAUCAAGUGCCUUAAGGGUGUUCGGUGGAUGCCUUGGCGCUGAGAGGCGAUGAAGGACGUGCUACGCUGCGAUAAGCCGUGGGGAGCUGCGAAGAAGCUUUGAUCCGCGGAUUUCCGAAUGGGGAAACCCACCUUCGAUAGCCGGAACUCCAAGACCUUGUGUGUUGGGGUUCGACCAGAAAUGCGAGAAAUCAAACCGCGAGGUUUUGGAUUUCCGGUUAUCAAGAGAAGGUAUGAGACCCCCGAAUAAAAUAGGAGGUUUUAAGCAAACCCAGGGAACUGAAACAUCUAAGUACC
rnacentral:rRNA from 1 species